ACCCGGGGAACUGAAACAUCUAAGUACCCGAAGGAAAGGACAUCAAUUGAGACUUCCCUAGUAGCGGCGAGCGAACGGGAACCAGGCCAGUGUCUCUUCUUGAGUCAGCGGAACGAUCUGGAAAGUUCGGCCAUAGCGGGUGAUAGCCCCGUACGUUAAAGCGAUUGAAGAGACCUUGAGUAGGGCGGGACACGUGAAAUCCUGUCUGAACAUGGGGGGACCACUCUCCAAGCCUAAGUACUCGCAUAUGACCGAUAGUGAACCAGUACCGUGAGGGAAAGGUG
rnacentral:rRNA from 11 species